GUAGGUGGCAAGCGUUGUCCGGGAAUUAUUGGGGCGUAAAGCGCGCGCAGGCGGUUCUUUAAGUCUGAUGUGAAAGCCCACGGGCUCAACCGUGGAGGGUCAUUGGAAACUGGAGAACUUGAGUACAGAAGAGGAAAGCGGAAUUCCACGUGUAGCGGUGAAAUGCGUAGAGAUGUGGAGGAACACCAGUGGCGAAGGCGGCUUUCUGGUCUGUAACUGACGCUGAGUCGCGAAAGCGUGGGGAGCAAACAGGAUUAGAUACCCUGGUAGUCCACGCCGUAAACGAUGAGCGCUAAGUGUUAGGGGGUUUCCGCCCCUUAGUGCUGCAGCUAACGCAUUAAGCACUCCGCCUGGGGAGUACGGCCGCAAAGGCUGA
rnacentral:rRNA from 1 species